UACGUAGGGACCGAGCGUUGUCCGGAAUCAUUGGGCGUAAAGAGCGUGUAGGCGGCCAGACAGGUCUGCUGUGAAAACUCGAGGCUCAACCUCGAGACGCCGGUGGAAACCGUCUGGCUAGAGUCCGGAAGAGGAGAGUGGAAUUCCUGGUGUAGCGGUGAAAUGCGCAGAUAUCAGGAAGAACACCCGUGGCUAAGGCGGCUCUCUAGUACGGUACUGACGCUGAGACGCGAAAGCGUGGGGGAGCGAACAGG
rnacentral:rRNA from 1 species